GCCCUCGGGGUGUAAUGGUCAGCACACUCGGCGCGUAUUCGAGAGGUCCGAGGUUCGAGUCCCGGCGAGGGCA
rnacentral:tRNA from 1 species